rnacentral:rRNA from 1 species
AGACGGAGGGUGCAAGCGUUAAUGGGAAUUACUGGGCGUAAAGCGCUCGUAGGCGGCUUGUUAAGUCGGAUGUGAAAGCCCCGGGCUCAACCUGGGAACUGCAUUCGAUACUGGCAGGCUAGAGUAUAGUAGAGGCAAGUGGAAUUCCGGGUGUAGCGGUGAAAUGCGUAGAGAUCGGAAGGAACACCAGUGGCGAAGGCGGCUAUCUGGAUCAACACUGACGCUAAGGUACGAAAGCGUGGGGAGCAAACAGGAUUAGAAACCCCGGUAGUCC